rnacentral:rRNA from 1 species
CCCCUCCGGGGGGCGCCCGCCGAAGGCCAGCCAAACACUGUUGCAUCUAGGCCCUCUGAAGAACCGCGUCAGCGGAACAAACAAUCAAAACUUUCAACAAUGGAUCUCUUGGCUCUGGCAUCGAUGAAGAACGCAGCGAAAUGCGAUAAGUAAUGCGAAUUGCAGAAUUCAGCGAGUCAUCGAAUCUUUGAACGCACAUUGCGCCCGCCAGCAUUCUGGCGGGCAUGCCUGUCCGAGCGUCAUUUCCACCCGUCAAGCCCUGCUUGUGUUGGGGCACCGCGGCUGCCGCGGGCCCUGAAAGGAAGUGGCGGGACCGCCGCCGCGCCUAGCGUAGUACUCUUACACCGCUACGGAGCGCGCGCGCGGACCCCGGCCGUUAAACGCCCACCAAGCGUACAGGUUGACCUCGGAUCAGGUAGGAAUACCCGCUGAACUUAAGCAUAUCAAUAAGCGGAGGAAAAGAAACCAACAGGGAUUGCCCCAGUAACGGCGAGUGAAGCGGCAACAGCUCAAAUUUGAAAUCUGGCCCUCGGGUCCGAGUUGUAAUUUGCAGAGGAUGCUUCGGGCGAGGCGCCUUCCGAGUCCCCUGGAACGGGGCGCCGCAGAGGGUGAGAGCCCCGUACGGUCGGACGCCGAGCCCGUGUGAAGCUCCUUCGACGAGUCGAGUAGUUUGGGAAUGCUGCUCAAAAUGGGAGGUAAAUGCCUUCUAAAGCUAAAUACCGGCCAGAGACCGAUAGCGCACAAGUAGAGUGAUCGAAAGAUGAAAAGCACUUUGGAAAGAGGGUUAAACAGCACGUGAAAUUGUUGAAAGGGAAGCGCCUGUGACCAGACUCGGGCGCGGCGGAUCACCCGGCGUUCUCGCCGGUGCACUCCGCCGCGCCUGGGCCAGCAUCGGCUCCCGCGGGGGGAUAAAGGGUCGGGGAAUGUGGCUCCCUUCGGGGAUGUGUUAUAGCCCCGUCMGGCAUGCUC